GAGGACUAUAUCCAUCAUGGGCCGCAACCUUGUGAGAAUGCUCCAGGCUUAUCUUCAGUUGCCACUUCGAUUGCUAUUAUGGAGUUACAGAAAUGCGUAAGGCUUUUGAUGUGUGUUCUUGUCCAUAAGUUAAUUGUAAUACUUUCGACAUAUGUUAGUACUGCUUGAUUAUUUGCCCAGAACGCAUAAAUAAACCUCUCUUGAGAUUAUCGGAUUCUCAUUAUGAUCUUUUGCUUAUGUCUGAGCAUGCAGUCCAGUAAACAUUCCUGUACACGUCGUGUUGGUUGAGUGAGCCAUCUUACUAGAAUCAUCUGAAGCUAUUAUUCCCUCUGUAACUUAAUAGAAGACGUUUUCUGACACUCUUUUUAUUAGUGUCAAAAAAUGUCUUAUAUUAAGUAGGGAGUAUUUCCUUUUGGCCAAAUCACGCAGUUCUUGUUUGCCACUUCCACUUGUUCCUUGCUACUUUUACUGGCCUGCUCAUUUGUCUAGUCUAAACAAGUUUCCUUGAAUUUCAGGUAUAAUAUGGGUGUAAUUCCAACAAAGAAGAGCUUGGUUAAAUGCGAGAGACUUUCAGUGAGCGCUUUCGCCAGGUCUCUAUCUCUCUCCGGGUUAUAACAAUGAUUCCCUUUGACCGCCGAAUAGUGCAUUUUAUUUGCCGGUUAAUUUUUAGAAAGUGUUUCACCUCUGGCCUACCCCAACUUGUUUGGGACUAAAGGCUU
rnacentral:lncRNA from 1 species